rnacentral:rRNA from 1 species
AGUGAACGCUGGCGGUGGGCCUAACACAUGCAAGUCGAACGGCAGCACAGUAAGAGCUUGCUCGUACGGGUGGCGAGUGGCGGACGGGUGAGGAAUACAUCGGAAUCUACUUUUUCGUGGGGGAUAACGUCGGGAAACUUACGCUAAUACCGCAUACGACCUGCGGGUGACAGCAUGGGUUCUUGGGACCUUUCGCGAUUGAGUGGGCUGAUGUCGGGUUAGCUAGUUGGCGGGGUGAAGGCCUACCAAGGCGACGAUCCGUAGCUGGUCUGAGAGGAUGAUCAGCCACAAUGGAGCUGAGACGCGGUCCAGACUCCUACGGGAGGCAGCAGUGGGGAAUAUUGGACAAUGAGCGGAAGCCUGAUCCAGCCAUACCGCGUGGGUGAAGAAGGCCUUCGGGUUGUAAAGCCCUUUUGUUGGGAAAGAAAAGCAGCAGGUUAAUAUCCCGCUGUGCUGACGGUACCCAAAUAAUAAGCACCGGCUAACUACGUG